rnacentral:rRNA from 1 species
AGAACGAACGCUGGCGGCAUGCCUAACACAUGCAAGUCGAACGAGACCUUCGGGUCUAGUGGCGCACGGGUGCGUAACGCGUGGGAAUCUGCCCUUGGGUUCGGGAUAACAGUUGGAAACGACUGCUAAUACCGGAUGAUGUCUUCGGACCAAAGAUUUAUCGCCCAGGGAUGAGCCCGCGUAGGAUUAGCUUGUUGGUGAGGUAAGAGCUCACCAAGGCGACGAUCCUUAGCUGGUCUGAGAGGAUGAUCAGCCACACUGGGACUGAGACACGGCCCAGACUCCUACGGGAGGCAGCAGUGGGAAUAUUGGACAAUGGGCGAAAGCCUGAUCCAGCAAUGCCGCGUGAGUGAUGAAGCCUUAGGUUGUAAAGCUCUUUACCGGGAUGAUAAUGACAGUACCGGAGAAUAAGCCCGGCUAACUCCGUGCCCAGCAAGCCGAC